rnacentral:miRNA from 1 species
GAAUACGUCUGGUUGAUCC